GACGAACGCUGGCGGCGUGCUUAACACAUGCAAGUCGAAGAUAGUGGCGAACGGGUGAGUAAUACGUAGUAACCUGCCCUCAUUUAUGGGAUAAGCCUUGGAAACGGGGUCUAAUACCGAAUAUUUGAGGAUGGGCUCGCGGCCUAUCAGCUUGUUGGGGGGGUAAUGGCCUACCAAGGCGGUGACGGGUAGCCGGCCUGAGAGGAUGCCCAGUCACACUGGAACUGAGACACGGUCCAGACUCCUACGGGAGGCAGCAGGGGGGAAUAUUGGACAAUGGGCGAAAGCCUGAUCCAGCCAUGCCGCGUGUGUGAAGAAGGUCUUCGGAUUGUAAAGUACUUUAAGUUGGGAGGCGUUACCAACAGAAUAAGCACCGGCUAACUUCGUGCCAGCAGCCGCGGUAAUUC
rnacentral:rRNA from 1 species